rnacentral:rRNA from 1 species
GAUGAACGCUAGCUACAGGCUUAACACAUGCAAGUCGAGGGGUAACAAGAGAAAAGCUUGCUUUUCUUGUUGACGACCGGCGCACGGGUGAGUAACGCGUAUCCAACCUGCCUAUAACUAGGGAAUAACCUUGCGAAAGUAAGACUAAUACCCUAUGAUUUCCUUUGAUGACAUCAGAUUAGGAAUAAAGAUUUAUCGGUUAUAGAUGGGGAUGCGUCUGAUUAGCUUGUUGGCGGGGUAACGGCCCACCAAGGCAACGAUCAGUAGGGGUUCUGAGAGGAAGGUCCCCCACAUUGGAACUGAGACACGGUCCAAACUCCUACGGGAGGCAGCAGUGAGGAAUAUUGGUCAAUGGGCGGAAGCCUGAACCAGCCAAGUAGCGUGCAGGAUGACGGCCCUAUGGGUUGUAAACUGCUUUUAUACAGGAAUAAAGUUAGCCACGUGUAUCUAGCUGAAUGUACUGGAAGAAUAAGGAUCGGCUAACUCCGUGCCAGCCGCCGCCGUAAUAC